GCCUAGUUGUAAAAUAUUGAUUUACACUAAUGAACGCCAGGGAAUUACGAGCUCAGCUUAAAACCCAAAAGACUUGACGGUGUCCAACCCCACUAAAGGAGCCUGUCCUAAAAUCGAUACUCCCCGCUCAACCUCACCAUUUUUUGCUUAAUCAGUUAGUAUACUUCCGUCGCCAGUUUACCACAUGAAUGAACCGUAGUGGGCUCAAUGACAUCUAGCCAGAACGUCAGGUCAAGGUGCAGCUGAAAAAAUGGGCUGAGAUGGGCUACAAUUUCUAUGUUAGAACAUAACGAAUUACUGCAUGAAAAAACAGUCAUGAAGGUGGAUCUAGUAGUAAAAAGAGAAUAGCGUGCCUUUUUUAACACGGGCAAUGGGACGUGUACACACCGCCCGUNNNNNNNNNCAACCCUACACAAUAGUUUAUAACCCAACUUUAACCUUUAGAAGAGGCAAGUCGUAACACGGUAAGUGCAUUGGAAAAUGCAUUGGAUCAUCAAAAUGUAGCUUAA
rnacentral:rRNA from 1 species